UACAGAGGGGGCAAGCGUUGUCCGGAAUUACUGGGCGUACAGCGCGCGCAGGCGGACUCCCACGUGCCGUGUGACAAGCCACCGCUCAACGGUGGAGGGCCAGGGUACACGAGGGGUCUGGAGGCAGGGAGAGGGAUGUGGAAUGCCCGGUGGAGCGGUGAAAUGCGUAGAGAUCGGGCGGAACACCAGCGGCGAAGGCGGCAUCCUGGUCCUGUACUGACGCUGAGGCGCGAGAGCGUGGGGAGCGAACUGG
rnacentral:rRNA from 1 species